CAGCGCCGGAACCGGGAGCAUCUCAUUCGAUGCCGACGGUUGACGAGGAGGGGGUUUAUCGAACCUUCGGCGGGUGCCCCACGGCAGUCACACAGCCGUAAAAGGCCGGCAAAAGUGCGGAGUAAUCUGCAUCACAAAUUCGGC
rnacentral:ncRNA from 1 species